AGUGAACGCUGGCGGUAGGCCUAACACAUGCAAGUCGAACGGCAGCACAGUAAGAGCUUGCUCUUACGGGUGGCGAGUGGCGGACGGGUGAGGAAUACAUCGGAAUCUACUUUUUCGUGGGGGAUAACGUAGGGAAACUUACGCUAAUACCGCAUACUACCUACGGGUGAAAGCAGGGGAUCUUCGGACCUUGCGCGAUUGAAUGAGCCGAUGUCGGAUUAGCUAGUUGGCGGGGUAAAGGCCCACCAAGGCGACGAUCCGUAGCUGGUCUGAGAGGAUGAUCAGCCACACUGGAACUGAGACACGGUCCAGACUACUACGGGAGGCAGCAGUGGGGAAUAUUGGACAAUGGGCGCAAGCCUGAUCCAGCCAUACCGAGUGGGUGAAGAAGGCCUUCGGGUUGUAAAGCCAUUUUGUUGGGAAAGAAAAGCAGCAGGUUAAUACCCCGCUGUUCUGACGGUACCCAAAGAAUAAGCACCGGCUAACUUCGUG
rnacentral:rRNA from 1 species